CCCAUAGGUUCUGGAUUUGACCACGUACUGAAGCAAACAGUGCAGACCGUCUUGUCUACGAGUGAAUGUGACCACGAUACCACUCAUCAGAUAUGCGUUAAUCAUCAAAACUACUUUAACUCUCCUUGCCAUGGUGACAGUGGAGGACCACUGGCCUGCAUGUUGGGGCCCAGAUGGUAUGUUAUGGGAGACACAAGCUAUGCUACGGCGAGCAAUUUUAUGGGUGGACUCUGUGCUAUGCCUCAGAAUAAAGUUAUUUUCAGUAAGGUGUCCGAUAAAGUAGAUUGGAUCAAAGUGAUGGUGGAGAAGUAUAGCUAGCUUCCAAAUGCUGAUAAAUAUGAAAAGAUUGUGAGAUUGCCUGUUUUGGUUUUUACUAAAAUAUAGCCAAUAAAUUAUUCGGUAUAGUGU